UAGCCGUAAUUAUUUUAAUGCCUUCCUG
rnacentral:sRNA from 1 species